rnacentral:rRNA from 1 species
GACGAACGCUGGCGGCGCGCCUAACACAUGCAAGUCGAACGGAGCUUAAAGAGCUUGCUUUUUAAGCUUAGUGGCGAACGGGUGAGUAACGCGUGAGUAACCUGCCCUAGAGUGGGGGACAACAGUUGGAAACGACUGCUAAUACCGCAUAAGCCCACGGUACCGCAUGGCACUGAGGGAAAAGGAUUUAUUCGCUUUAGGAUGGACUCGCGUCCAAUUAGCUAGUUGGUGAGGUAACGGCCCACCAAGGCGACGUUUGGUAGCCGGACUGAGAGGUUGAACGGCCACAUUGGGACUGAGACACGGCCCAGACUCCUACGGGAGGCAGCAGUGGGGGAUAUUGCACAAUGGGGGAAACCCUGAUGCAGCGACGCCGCGUGGAGGAAGAAGGUUUUCGGAUUGUAAACUCCUGUCGUUAGGGACGAUAAUGACGGUACCUAACAAGAAAGCACCGGCUAACUACGUGCCAGCAGCCGCGGUAAAACGUAGGGUGCGAGCGUUGUACGGAAUUACUGGGUGUAAAGGGAGCGCAGGCGGGAAGACAAGUUGGAAGUGAAAACUAUGGGCUCAACCCAUGAAUUGCUUUCAAAACUGUUUUUCUUGAGUAGUGCAGAGGUAGAUGGAAUUCCCGGUGUAGCGGUGGAAUGCGUAGAUAUCGGGAGGAACACCAGUGGCGAAGGCGGUCUACUGGGCACCAACUGACGCUGAGGCUCGAAAGCAUGGGUAGCAAACAGGAGUAGAUACCCUGGUAGUCCAUGCCGUAAACG